rnacentral:rRNA from 1 species
AAGACAACAGGGAUGCCUCAGUAACGGCGAGUGAAGCGGCAACAGCUCAAAUUUGAAAUCUGGCCUCACGGCCCGAGUUGUAAUUUGUAGAGGAUGUUUUGGGUACCGCCGCGGUUUAAAUUUCUUGGAACAGAAUGUCAAAGAGGGUGAGAAUCCCGUCUUGGACCGCGGUAGGGCCUGUGUAAAACUCCUUCGACGAGUCGACUUGUUUGGGAAUGCAGGUCAAAAUGGGUGGUAAAUUUCAUCUAAAGCUAAAUAUUGGCCAGAGACCGAUAGCGCACAAGUAGAGUGAUCGAAAGAUGAAAAGCACUUUGAAAAGAGAGUUAAACAGUAUGUGAAAUUGUUGAAAGGGAAGCGCUGGCAACCAGACUCGUGCGCGGGGUUCCCCUCAGCUUCGGCUGGGGCUACUUCCCCGUGUCCGGGCCAUCAUCAGUUUUGGGGGUCGGUCAAAGGUUUCAGGAAUGUAUCCACGCCUUCGGGGGUGGACUUAUAGCCUGGAGCGUCAUGCGGCCACCUGGGACUGAGGAACGCGCUUCGGCGAGGAUGAUGGCGUAAUGGUUGUCAGCGACCCGUCUUGAAACACGGACCAAGGAGUCUAACAUCUAUGCGAGUGUUCGGGUGUCAAACCCUUGCGCGGAAUGAAAGUGAACGGAGGUAGGAAGGCUUUAGCCUGCACUAUCGACCGAUCCGGAUGUCUUCGGAUGGAUUUGAGUAAGAGCAUAGCUGUUGGGACCCGAAAGAUGGUGAACUAUGCGUGAAUAGGGUGAAGCCAGAGGAAACUCUGGUGGAGGCUCGCAGCGGUUCUGACGUGCAAAUCGAUCGUCAAAUUUGCGUAUAGGGGCGAAAGACUAAUCGA